UACGAAGGGGGCUAGCGUUGCUCGGAUUGACUGGGCGUAAAGGGCGCGUAGGCGGUUUGCACAGUCAGACGUGAAAUUCCUGGGCUUAACCUGGGGGCUGCGUUUGAUACGUGCAGGCUUGAGUUCGGAAGAGGGUCGUGGAAUUCCCAGUGUAGAGGUGAAAUUCGUAGAUAUUAGGAAGAACACCAGUGGCGAAGGCGGCCACCUGGCUCGGUACUGACGCUCAGGUUCGAAAGCGUGGGGAGCAAACAGG
rnacentral:rRNA from 1 species